UCUCUCGUAGUUCAAUGGCAGAACAGUGGGUUUUUAACCCAUCAAUAAAAGUUCGAUUCUUUUCGGGGGAA
rnacentral:tRNA from 1 species